UGUGCCUGUUGGCACUCCCUUACCACACUCACUCACUCUUGCAGGUGGAGAAGAAGAAGGGGAGAGGAAGAAGAAGCUCAGGAAGAGCACACACGGCAGUGGAGCUGCUUGAACCACUGAGCUGCAGCUACUCUCUCCUUUAUACACAACCAAGUCAAGGUGGAGAAGAAGAAGGGGAGAGGAAGAAGCUCAGGAAGAGCACACACGGCAGUGGAGCUGCUUGAACCACUGAGCUGCAGCUACUCUCUCCUUUAUACACAACCAAGUCAAGCUGCAACUAUGCUCACUAGUCUUUGCCGCCCAAAAUCAAGUGGCAAGCCACGGCAGGUCAAAGAGGUAGAGCUACUACUACUAUAA